AACGAACGCUGGCGGCAUGCCUAACACAUGCAAGUCGAACGAGACCUUCGGGUCUAGUGGCGCACGGGUGCGUAACGCGUGGGAACCUGCCCUUAGGUUCGGAAUAACUCCCCGAAAGGGGUGCUAAUACCGGAUAAUGUCUUCGGACCAAAGAUUUAUCGCCUUUGGAUGGGCCCGCGUUGGAUUAGCUAGUUGGUAGGGUAAAAGCCUACCAAGGCGACGAUCCAUAGCUGGUCUGAGAGGAUGAGCAGCCACACUGGGACUGAGACACGGCCCAGACUCCUACGGGAGGCAGCAGUGGGGAAUAUUGGACAAUGGGCGAAAGCCUGACCCAGCAAUGCCGCGUGAGUGAUGAAGGCCUUAGGGUUGUAAAGCUCUUUUACCCGGGAUGAUAAUGACAGUACCGGGAGAAUAAGCGCCGGCUAACUCCGUG
rnacentral:rRNA from 1 species